UGAACCACAUUUGCAAACCGCUCAACCGUUUAGGUUAGUAGCGGCACGAGAUCUCGCGAGAAUCGGGAUGUGGAGGAUGAGAUGAAGAUGAAGAAGAUGAGCUCGAGUGGCCACCGAUAAGCGAGCCCUCUUCGAAAAACGGCAACACCGCCGCGGACGCUUCACUCGGAACGCCGAAGAGUCAUUCGGUGUCAUCAUAGUUUUACGCGGGCGACGGGAAAAGGAGGGCGCGAGAGGGAAGAACGAAAGAAAGCGGGGGAAGGGGGUUCUCCGCGUGACGUCAGGAGCUUCCCCAGAAAGUCCAAACAAGACGUUGGUUGAUGCGGUAUCUCCGCGAGGGAGUCCGCCCCCGCAUUAGGGACGAAGUUGGGACCCUAUCAAGACAGACACAAGAAUAAAGCACCAGGAGGACGAGAGAGAGACAAGCACAAGAAGGAUCGGGACCGCACCUGCUGCUUCAGGCUGAGUCACUGCCGGUGAGGAGGAAGGUCUGGAGCGGGAGCAGGGGAGGAGGCGGCAGUGACGCAGGACCAGAA